GACCACGUAGCUCAGUUGGCAGAGCAUUGGGCUGGUAUUCCAAAGGUCGUAGGUUCGAUUCCCACCGUGGCCA
rnacentral:tRNA from 1 species